UGGGGAAUAUUGCACAAUGGGCGCAAGCCUGAUGCAGCAACGCCGCGUGAACGAUGAAGGUCUUCGGAUCGUAAAGCUCUGUUGCAGGGGAAGAUAAUGACGGUACCCUGUGAGGAAGCCCCGGCUAACUACGUGCCAGCAGCCGCGGUAAUACGUAGGGGGCUAGCGUUAUCCGGAUUUACUGGGCGUAAAGGGUGCGUAGGUGGUCUUUCAAGUCGGUGGUUAAAGACUACGGCUCAACCGUAGUUAGCCUCCGAAACUGGAAGACUUGGGUGCAGGAGAGGAAAGUGGAAUUCCCAGUGUAGCGGUGAAAUGCGUAGAUAUUGGGAGGAACACCAGUAGCGAAGGCGGCUUUCUGGACUGCAACUGACACUGAGGCACGAAAGCGUGGGUAGCAAACAGG
rnacentral:rRNA from 1 species